CAUUAUUAGCUCAUCCCGGGCGGCCUGGUCAUUGGCCAGCCCCUGGCCACGUGGUCCCUCGUACCAAUCGAUCGAAUUUCUAGUCGCAAUUCUCUGUCUGUCCCUCAGCUCUGGGGAGAAAGUGGGGGCUGUGGCAUGGGGGCUGAGGUCCAGUUUGGGGCGGGGUGGGAGAGGAGUCCUUGAGUAUCCUGUCCCAGGGCCAAACCCCCAGGAGUCCAAUCUUCAAGACCUCCUUGAGCCGACUUCCGCCGAUGGAGGGGGAUCUUCAGGGUGCCUGCUGGGUUCUCAGGACUCCUCUUCAGAUCCUAGUUUUGACCCCUCCGGGUUAGAAAGGAUGGGCUCAGCACAUCUGGUGAGGCAGGCAGGUCGUCGCUGCAGCACGGAAUGAUCCCAUGGCCCUCAAGGCGUGGUGUCAGCUGAAAGUUCACUGAUCUGUGAGCCCUCUGCCUCCCUCCUCCGUUGAAAGAGCAGUGGCGUGCCCCACUUCUAAAAGCCCUGGGGCUCCUGCAAGCGGACACCGCUUUCCAGGACAGGUGCAAACAGGGAUGGUGCGAAGCCGAGGUGGAGACAAUGCGAUCACGCGUGGCACUGGCGUAUCCCACAGCAGAUGGUGUGAAUGUGUGUCACCGGAGGCAUAUGGGGUGAUGGCAAAACCAACAAUGGUGUCCAGGCAUGUGCCCGGUGGAAAGGGGGAACAAGUGGCCUUUCCCUGAGUGCCAAGGGAACUCAAAGAAGACCUGGGAACCUGGACGGGGCCUUUGCCUCAGUCCAAGCCACAUUUUGAAAUGCCUGCCAGAGGAGCACAGAGGUUUCUGCAACAUUCACCCCACCCCGAAGCCUCCACCGCCCAGAGACGAGGUCUCACUAUAUUGCCCAGGCUGGUCUUGAACUCCUGGCCUUAAGCGAUCCUCCUUCCUUGGCCUCCCAAAGUGCUGGAGUUACAGAUGUGAGCCUCUGUGCUCAGCCCAUCCUUGGCUGUUCAAGUGUAGAGCCCUCAGCAACCACCACCUCGAUCAGUCACUAGCUAUCAACAUUGAGACAAGACCAUCCAGCAGCAAAAUGAUGAUGACUUACUGAAGGCCCAGAUGAUGGUUAGCAUUUUUUGGCAAUCACGUAUUUUCAAAGUAAGGUAUAUACAUUAUAUUUUAGACAUAAUGCUAUUGCACACUUAAUUGACUACAGUAACUUAAACAUAACUUUUUUUUUUGAGAUGGAGUCUGGCUCUGUUGCCCAGGUUGGAGUGCCGUGGUGCAAUCUUGGCUCAUUGCAAACUCUGCCUCCUAGGUUCAAACAAUUCUCCUGCCUCAGCCUCCUGAGUAGCUGGGACUACAGGUGCGCACCACCAUUUUUGUAUUUCCGGUAGACACAGGGUUUCGCCAUGUUGGCCAGGCUGGUCUUGAACUUCUGACCUCAGGUGAUGCACCCACCUCGGCCUCCCAGUGUGCUGGGAUUACAGGCGUAAGCCACCAUGCCUGGCAACAUAACAUUUAUAUGCACCAGAAAGCAAAAAAUUUCGUGUGACUUGCACUGUUGUGACAUUCACCUUAUUGUGUUACCUAGAACCAAACCUGCAAUAUCUCCAAGGUGUGCCUGUAUCCCUAGAAGCAGAGCUGGAAUAAGGACUUCGGUGUGGGUGGUUUAUUUGGAAAGUGAUUCCAAGAAGCAAGAGUCAGAAGUGGGAAGAGUGAGCCAGGCAAGAAAGAAAAGCCAAAAUAAUGGCAUGCUAUUGAGGCUCCUGCCAUGCAGUUUUUUCUGCAGGACCUUCCGAGAGGCUCCGGAAAGUUAUCCGGAAAUGUCCACCUGAAACAUGAGCCUGGAGCAUUUGUCCACCUGUCCCACACUGGUUGAGGUCUUCCCCUGAGGCUGUUAACCUGCAAGUGUUUCUGGGCUGUAUUUGUGCUCAGGCAAAAUCCUACAAUAAUGGAGAUUCCCUAGGGCAGAAAGUGUACCUUGAGUUUGCUGGCAGCACAAGAGAAGCCUGUGCUUCCAUGGAACUUCUCACGGUGGCUGAGACUGAAUGAAAGGUGAGCUGAGAAAACAUGACGCAGGCGCCAUUGCACUAAGCAAUCAUAGCCAUCGAUCUGGGCAAGAGGACCCCUGCCCUGAAUCCUGCACUUGAGAAGGUGCCUCUCUGGCCCUCCACUGACUGUACCCUGGCCCACUCAGAGCUUCACCAUCUCUUCUAGGGCACACGCUGGGCACUCAGGGACCUGGCGAAAUGUGCCUGAGCCUGCAUGGCCUCUUCCCUGGGUCCAUUUCAAAGUGCAAACUGUGCUUGUCCAAAUGGUGCCCAAGGAUCUGCUUUCUGAAGGGGUGAGAAUUGUGGAUGCAGCUUGCAUGGGGCCUAGGGAGUUCCCCACACAAGGGUAUGCAAAGCUUCUCAAGUGAGGACAGGGCUACCUACGAUGAAAGAAAAAAGUUUAGCCUGGGGCUGAUGAUCGGCUCUCCCUUUACUACCACAUUCCUGUGCAGAGCACCAAGAAAUCAGAGAAUUCUACACUCAACUUUGACCUUGUGGGUUAUUAUGGCAGUAUAUUUAUCGAAAUAGGAGAAUAGAACAUAUUUAACUAUUUGUUAGCUUCAUUUAUAACUCAUAAUUAUUUAGACAUAAUGCAAAUGUGGGCUGGAAUUUACGUUCUGAUUUUUUGUGGCCUUGAGCUAAGGAAAAGGGACCCAAGGAAAUGGGCUUUAUAUGCUUGGAUGGCUUUGUGGAAUCCCCAACUUCAUUAGCUUCUGUGGUGACUCAAGAUUGUUACUAAAAUCCACUUUGUAUUAUCUUUAAAAACCAAGGAAUAUUAUGUAGAUCAGUAGUUAGAAGGUACUUGACUCAAAAUAUGUAUGAACCAAAGGAUAUAAAUGACUAAAAGCAGGAGGAUUAUUACCUGAAGUGGUGGAGGGUUGAUCUCAGGAUAUGACCUGUGAGAUCCUUCCUGCUGGCUCAGUGCUGGCUGAAUGGGGGGCAGGAGAGCACCAGGAACAACACACAUCUGGGACAGGAGGGAAUGCGGGGAGGAAGGAAAGAGAAAUAGGCCUUUUUAUUUUUAUUGAUACAUGACAAUUAUACAUAUUUGUAGGGUACAUGUUAUAUUUUGAUACAUGCAUACAAUGUGUAGUGAUCAAAUCAGGAUAAUUUGCAUAUCCAUCACCUCAAACAUUUAUCAUUUGUGUUGAGAACAUUCUACAUCUUUCCUCUAGUCAUUUUGAAAUAUAUAAGUUAUUGUUAAUGAUCAUCACCCUACGUGCUAUUGAACACUAAAAAUUUUUCUGUUCCUUCCAUCUAACUGUAUUUUUGUGUCCAUUAACCAACUUCUGGGAAGGGCAAAAGAGUGGGUGGAUGAAAAGGGCCCUUUUUAAGGAAAAGUAAAUCUUACAAGAAGGGAAGACAUCUUAGGAGGAAAAAUAAAAAGGUGGACCAUGGGCUUAGAGUAGGGACUGCAGAAAUUGAAUGGCAAAGAAAAAACCAACUUAGCAAUGUGAAAAUACAUCUCAAUGUCAUUCUUUUCACAGGUCCAGUGUCUGAUUCUUUUGGGAAGCUGGAUAUGAAGUCAGAAUCUUUCUUUGAGUCAUACAUUUUCAUGAUUAUGAUUAUUAUUGAAUGAUAGCUGGCAAUUAUUGAGAGCAAUUAUUGAGGACAAUUAUUGAGCUUUCACAAGCCCUUUUCAAAGGUCUUUACAUAUAUUUUCUCCACUUCUAACUGUUAGAUAUUCUUAUUAUUCCCAUUUUGUAGAUGAGGGAUACACAGGCAUAAAGCCUAUGUGGAGGCAGAGAGCAGCUACGUAACCUGACUAUGGCCCAACAGCAAACAAAUGAUGGGGCCACAUGCAAAUCCAGGCAGAACCCUUCUAUUAUAUGAAGCUCAAUGUUUUCUUGUUUGCAGCUUGUUAUGAAUACCUCUAUUUGCAAAUGGGUUUUGAAGCUACUUUAAAACAUUUUGUGGCUGUGCGUGGUGGCUGGCACCUGUAAUCCCAGCAUUAUGGGAAACCAAGGUGGGCAGAUUGCCUGAGCUCAGGAGUUUGAGACCAACCUGGCCAACAUGGUGAAACCCUGUGCCUACUAAAAAUACAAAAAAAUUAGCCAGGUGUGUUGGUGUGCACCUGUAAUCCCAGCUACUCUGGAGGGUGAGGCAGGAGAAUCACUUGAACCCAGGAGAGGAAGGUUGCAGUAAGCUGAGAUCAUGCCACUGAACUCCAGCCUGGGCAACAGAGUGAGAUUCUGUCUCCAAAUAAAAAAUAAAUAAGAUUGAAUUUUGAGCUCCUGACCAUGUCCCUAGAUUGUGCUCAUAUGUAUUUUGAUGUCUAAUAAGAUUUAUUCUCAGUGCAUUUUUUAAGUGAAAGUAUUUAUUGAGCAUCUACUGUAUAUCAUGUGCUGAGAUAGGCACCAGUGGUGCAGGGAACAUAUGGCACAGUCUCUGACCUCAGGUAACUUUCACUCUCAUACAUAUGUAUUAGGACACCAACACAUGUGUGAAUAUAAGAUAGUAUGAUAGAUAUUGCAACAAGUAAUUAUUUACUGUAAACCUAUUUUAUAGGAUUUUAAACUUAAACUACUUUCACCCUAUUUCCAAAAAAAAGUAUUGCAUAACUUUAAAUAGAUUCUCAGUUUGAAAUCAUCAUACAAACUGCAGUAGCAUCUGCUGGUGAAAUACUGCUUUGUAUCUAUUAGAAUAGUCCAAACAAUUGGGAGACAACUGCAUUAUUAGAGCUGUAAAAGUUAUUGUCUAGAAAUCUCAGAGAAGAAGAGGAAGUUCUAUGGUAGAUGAAUAAGAUGACAUCUAAACUGUUCUCUUCAGCUACUGAAGUUCUGUGGAUAUCUCACAGCACAAAGUUCAAGUGUAUGCCCACAGCUCCUCAUGCCACAAGAUGUGACACCUUUCCAAUCUCUUUUUGCAAAAGUUUCCAAUUAUGUCUCUUUUAAGAGUACUUUUUAUACCCACAUAUUCCGGAUUUUGUGGUGCACGCAAAGACAAGAUGGGAAGGGGCUUCCAUUUAUUGAUGCCAGCUGCUCCAUGGACCAGGCCCUGCCCAUGCAUCCAUGUUGGUUCUUUUAUCCCCACAUCAGCCAUAGCCCAUAAGCAUUAACUGCCAUUGCACAGAUGAGGAAAUUGAAAGUCUAAGAGAAUAUGCAAUCUACCCAGAGUCAUGCAGCUUGUGUAUGUAAGGUUUGGAAUGAAAAUCCAAUCUGUGUGAGUCUCAAGUCCCCUUCCACCAUAUGGUUUCCAUUUCAUUUUGCAAUCAGAUUGGCUGGGAUAUGUCUGCCCUAAAAGAUAGUAAGUAGGAAUAUUUGUCUCUAUACCUUAACCUGACAUCCAUGGGCUUGCUUUUUGUAUUUGGAGGUGUCAUAACAUUAUAAUAAUAAUUUGAUUUUAUUUGUACAGUGGAUAUUAUACUACUCAGUCUAGAGAUUUAUGACAUCCCAGUCUAAACUGGAUGAUAGCAAUGAAGCUUCUUCAAGGAGACAAGUAUGAGUAAUAAGGUAGUAAUAAGCUGAAUUUCUAUGGAGUUGCUACUUCUGAAUUAAAACUAGUUGAGAUUAAGUAGAUAUUCAAAAAUAUUGCUAUAAUCUUCACUUGAAUAAUACAAACAUUUAUUAUUUUUACAUAUUUAUUUAUUUAUGGAACAUAAUUUUAAAACAGAAUAUUUUCAAAUUGUAUUAAAAUAUAUUAAAAACAUAAUACAUUAUCACCCAAUAGAGUUUUUCAAAGUAACUCAGUGUUAGUUUAAAAUGUGAAAUUCAAUCAACAUAAUUCACCAUAGAAUACAGUGUGUAUGUCAGUAUAAUAUAUAUAUCAAAAUUGGAAAGCAGUAAAUUUAUCUUUGUUUUGUAAUAAGAUGAAAUUAAAAUUUUAAUGAAUUUCAACUUUCAUUUUAGAUUUCGGAGGGUACCUUUGCAGGUUUAUUACAUGGGUGUAUUGUGUGAUGCUGAGAUUUGGGGUAUGAAUGAAAGUGUGAGUGCCUGUUUUGAACUUGCACCGAGAGCAAUCUCCCCUGAUCAGCAGAGGGUAAACUAACUUGAAUUACACUUGAAUUUUUUAGUAGAGCAGGUCACAAAGGGCAAAUUGUAGUCCAGAGACAAAAGUGCUCAGUGGUCUAAAAUGAGCCUGCCAUAUCACUGAGGGUACAGGUCUUCACAGAAAUAUAUUUCAGAAAGACGUCAAACCUUUGUUUAAAGAUAAAUGUAAGCUGGGUGUGGAGGCACACGUCUAUAAUUCCAGCUACUCAGGAGGCUGAGGCAGGAGGAUCCCUUGAGUUCAGGAGUUUAAGACCAGCCUGGACAACAUAGGAAGAUCCCAUCUCAAUUUUUUAAAAUGAGAAAAAAAUAGAUAAACUUAAACAUAUUAAAAUUUUAAAGAGUUUAUUUAAGCAAACAGAGAUUCAUGGAUCAGGCAGCUCCAAACUGAAAGUGGUUGGAGGAUCUACUGGAGGUGUUUGUAAGGAAGGCUUUUACAGGGUGAAUAUAGAAGUAAAGUAGAGAAAUUAUUUGAUUGGCAAAAAUGUGGGCAGUUGCAUUAUUUGAACUAUCCUGGUGGUAGGUCUCUCAUUACCCAGCUAAUACUCGGCAGGCCACCUGUGGGUGGGCUAAGCUUGUUUCAUUUUGUCUAUGCAGGAACCCUGGCCAUGGGAGCUAUCUCAGCCUAAUGCUCUCCCAUUAUGAAAUUUUACACCUUCUUUCUGUAUCAGGGUAAGUGGGGAUCUUCCCCAGGAGGGUUCUUACCACCCUGUUUCCCUCAGCAAAAUGAAACUGUCCCUUUUGCCUCUGUAGGCAAUCUUCUGAACAAGGCAUUCCUAAUAUUCUUAUCUCAUCUUAUUUUAUCUUAUCCUCUUCUCUGUACCUUGUUUACAUGCUUCUGGAACACUUGUGUGUCUUGCACCCAUCUCCUGCAUUAUUUAGGCAAUCCUAACAGAAGGCCGCUAGGAUGGAUUGGAAGAGAACUGCUGGCAUAUUGAGCCCUCUCUCUUUGUAUCUGGAACUUUCAUAAUUACCUUAGUUCUCCAUGCCAAUUUUGCACUUAUCUUUGUUCUCCACUUCAAAAUACAUUUACCUCUGACAGCAGCUGAGUUCAUAAAAGGGAACUAGUCCAGUGGUACUUAUGAGGCAGGAGACAUGAUAUAGUUAAAAUUAUAAACUAUAAUCACUAUAUAGUUAUAUAUUAUAUAUAAUCACUAUAUCACUCCAGGGUUGAAGUGAUACUCCUGCCUCAGCCUCCUGAGUAGCUGGGAUUACAGGCAUGUGCCACCACACUCGAAUAAUCGUAUAUGUUUUAAAAUAGGAAUAGAUUUUCUCAGCUAAACGGAAGGGAAAUGCUAAGGAAAGAGUGAGAUUUGACUUGAUAAUUAUGUUUCUGAAUGAAUCAGCCAAUUAAUAAAAUGAAAACAGGCCAGGACAGUGGUGCAUGCCAGUCAUCCCAGCAAUUUGGGAGGCCAAGGUGGACAGAUCACUUGAGUCCAAGAGUUUGAGACAAGCCUGAGCAACAUAUCAAAACCCCGUCUCUACAAAAAAUACAAAAAUUAGCCAGGUGUGGUGGCUCAUGCCUGUAGUCCCUGCUACUUGGGAGGCUGAGGUAGGAGGAUCACCUGAGCCUGGAGAUGUAGAGGCUGCAAUGAGCUGUGAUCAUGCCACUGCACUUCCAGCCUGGGUGACACAGUGAGACCCUGUCCCAAAGAAACUAAACUAAAAUGAAAUGAAAACAAACACAAGACAAAAAUUGAUGGACUUAUUUUAACACUUAGCAUGAUGAACACACAUAGAUAACAAUACUAACCCAAUGGGUUUUUGUCAGUCAAACUCAUGGUCACUAGUCUAAAGAAAAUAGGAAUAAUGACUGUGAAUUAACAACCAUUUACAACAUUAGAAAUACAAAAUACAAAUUAUUGUCAGAUAUAUCAGACUCACAAUUAUUUGACCUUUUAAGAAUUCAUCCUGCUCUCCAUAAUGAAUAAGAAAAUACUGAUAACUCUUUUUUCCCUUAACUUAAUCCUUUGUGCUCCUGAAUCUCUGAAUUUGUGUUUACAUCUUAACACUCUUUUUUUGUAAUUAUUUUCUGCAGCUUUUUUCUCUUCACUUGAGGCAUCUCCUAUAUUCUCUUUACACUUUUCCACAAAUGACUCAAUUUUUUUCGUAAGCUUCAUUGAUGAGUUCCAUGUAUGUGAUGAUAGUGUAAUGAUAAAUUAUCCAUGUGGUUUCCCUCCAGUCUUGUUCAUUAUUCAAGUGACUCUCCUUGGUCUAGCAACAGGCUAGGAGGUAACUAUGACAUUUUGUUCAGGUUAAGCAGGAAGAAGAAAACAAAAUCUACAUUCUCUUUUUUAUAUUUUAAACACAAGCCAACAAAUAAUUUGGAAAGACCCAUGAUUAGACAGGGAGGAUUUUAUGCUCCUUCAAGAGUAAUUGAGAUUGUUUAAUUGUAUGGAGGAAUGAGCAUAUCUCAAGGGGAAUCGAGAAGGUAUAAUAUUUGGAUGACAGAAUCAUUAAGAACUGGCUUUGCACCCUGGCUACACCAUUGCACAUAGGAAAUAUUAGGGUGCAGGGGUGCAUGCCUGUAAUCCCAGCACUUUAGGAGGCUGAGGCAGGUGGAUCACCUGAGGUCAGGAGUUCAA